rnacentral:rRNA from 1 species
CAAUAGCGUAUAUUAAAGUUGUUGCGGUUAAAACGCUCGUAGUCGGAAUUUGGCAGUUCCGGAUGUGUGCACGUCGUGUGCGCACUUCGCGGGGAUUGCUUUUGUGGUCUUGCGUAGGAUGAGGCACUUUUAUUAGUGAACGUCCUCACGCAACCACUUUUUACUGUGAGAAAAUCAGAGUGCUCAAAGCAGGCAUUUGCCGUGAAUGUAUUAGCAUGGAAUAAUAGAAUAGGACUUGGUUCUAUUUUGUUGGUUUGUUGGGACUGAGUAAUGAUUAAGAGGGACAGUUGGGGGCAUUUGUAUUUCGGUGCUAGAGGUGAAAUUCUUAGAUUACCGAAAGACAAACUGCUGCGAAAGCGUCUGCCAAGGAUGUUUUCAUUGA